AUGACAUAUGGGAUAAAAAAAACAUGGGAGCUGGUCAAGACCGCUUUGGUGUGUAACAAUUGUGGAAGCAGGAUAAUCACAACUACUCGUACACUCGAAGUUGCCACAAUGGCCAGUGAAGUAUACAAGCUACAACCACUUUCUCUUGAUUUAUCCAAGGAUUUAUUUCAUAGAAGAUUAUCUUGUGCUGCAAUAGAAUGGAAUAAUCAUCUUCCAGCAGUGGUAUAUGAUAAAAUUUUACAUAAAUGUGGUGGUAUACCAUUGGCUAUAAUCACAAUAGCUAGUUUGCUUGCUGGUAAACCUGUGGAGUUUUGGUCUAAGGUAUACACUUCAAUUGGUUUUGGGCAUGAAGAAAAUGAAGACGUGGAGAACACGAGGAAAAUACUUUUAUUUAGCUAUUAUGAUCUACCUUGUCACCUCAAGACUUGCUUAUUGUAUCUGAGCAUAUAUCCUGAAGAUCAUCUGAUCGAAAAAGAUAGUUUGAUAUGGAAGUGGGUCGCCGAAGGUUUUAUCCAUGAGGAACCAGGGGUAGGACUAUUCGAGAUUGGUGAGAGGUACUUCAACGAGCUGGUGAACAAAAGCAUGAUAAUGGCGGUAGAGGGAGAUGAGCAUAUUGGCAUCAUAACUGGGUGUCGUGUCCAUGACAUGAUGGUUGAUAUGAUAUGCCUAUUGUCGAAGGAGGAAAAGUUUGUUACUGUAUUGGAUAGUAAGGAGCAAUAUACAACUUCACAUCGCAAUGCUCGUAGGCUAGUUGUUCAUCGUAGAGCCCAGCCCCUGGCUAGCACGUCAACAUUACAAGCAAGGUCAUUUAAUGCCAUGUGCAGUGUUGAUUUGUUGCCAUCACUUUCAUGCUUUCAAGUUUUGCGUGUCCUAGCUUUGGAAGGCAAUGACACUUUGGAUAAGUGUAGCUAUAAGCUUGAGCAUGUUGGAAAGUUAGUUCACUUGAGGCACCUCAAACUAGGGAGGAUUGGUAUCAGUGAGCUCCCAAAGGAAAUAGGACAUCUGAAGUUCUUGCUGGUAUUGGACUUGGGUAGAAAUAGCAUAAGUGAACUUCCAGAGAGUAUUGGUCGAUUAAGUGAACUGAAGUGCUUGAACAUCUGCGAAACAGACAUUGAAGUGCCAUACUGGAUCGGAAAUUUGACAUCUCUGGAAGAGCUGUGCCUAGGACGAGUUCAUGGGCACUCCAACUUUGUGACAGAGCUGGGCAAGCUGACAGAGUUGAGGAAGCUCCACAUUUUUAAAAGCGUAUAUGUAUAUGGUGGUAGCAGAAUGAAUAGUUGGGCCGAGUCUGUAGCCAAACUGAGCAAGAUCCAAGUCAUAGACAUUGAUUUAGUUGUCGGGUGUAGAGAUUCCAGUCACGAAGAGAACCCCUGGGAACGGAUUGUUCUGUCUCCACAAAUACGUGUUCUACACAUGUCCUACCUAGAACCUGGGAUGGUGGCGAGGAUCAAUCCCUCGCUUCUUCCGAACCUGUCCCAUUUAAAACUGCAUGUAUGCAGUCCAGAACUGGAGGUCUUUGGAAGUUUUCGAGAGCUUGUUGCCCUCAAGCUGGAGACGGUGUCAACUCUCCACCAUGACACCAUUGGUGCGUUCCCCAAGCUGAGGUUCUUCAGGACAGAAGCAACGCUUGACUCGUUUCAAGAGGGGGAUAUGCCGGUCCUUGAAUCACUCCAGUUUGAGGUGGUAGCACAGUCCAGUGAUGAUGGCAUUAGCUUUGGCUUUGACUUUGCUAGCCUAGGGAACCUCCCUUUGCUUAAGAGAGUCGUCGUCACUUUAUAUGCCCCUCGUGCGGACGACGAGAAGGCUAAGGAAACGGUGAGGAAGGCAAUGGAUAUGCUUCCCAACCGUGUCGAGCAUUCUAUCAUACCAAGGGCUACAGAGAACUGGCGUCGGAGAUUAAAACACCGAUUGAGCUAA
rnacentral:rRNA from 1 species